rnacentral:rRNA from 1 species
AAUAUUGCGCAAUGGCCGCAAGGCUGACGCAGCGACGCCGCGUGGAGGAUGACGCCCCUCGGGGUGUAAACUCCUGUUGCUCGGGACGAUCCAUGGGUUUAGACCCAUCUGACGGUACCGAGUGAGGAAGCACCGGCUAACUCCGUGCCAGCAGCCGCGGUAAUACGGAGGGUGCGAGCGUUGUCCGGAAUCACUGGGCGUAAAGGGCGCGUAGGCGGUCUGGUAAGCGUGUGGUGAAAGCCCGGGGCUCAACCCCGGGUCUGCCGUGCGAACUGCCGGACUUGAGCACUGUAGAGGCAGGUGGAAUUCCGAGUGUAGCGGUGGAAUGCGUAGAUAUUCGGAGGAACACCGGUGGCGAAGGCGGCCUGCUGGGCAGUGUCUGACGCUGAGGCGCGACAGCGUGGGGAGCAAACAGG